AUACGUAGGGGGCAAGCGUUAUCCGGAUUUACUGGGUGUAAAGGGAGCGUAGACGGUAAAGCAAGUCUGAAGUGAAAGCUCGGGGCUCAACCCCGGAACUGCUUUGGAAACUGUUUUACUGGAGUGCAGGAGAGGUAAGCGGAAUUUCUAGUGUAGCGGUGAAAUGCGUGGAUAUUAGGAGGAACACCAGAGGCGAAGGCGGCUUACUGUACUGUAACUGACGUUGAGGCUCGAAGGCGUGGGGAGCAAACAGGAUUAGAUACCCUGGUAGUCCACGCGGUAAACGAUGAUCACUAGGUGUCGGCGGCCAUAGGCGGCCGGUGCCGCAGCAAACGCAAUAAGUGAUCCACCUGGGGAGUACGUUCGCAAGAAUGAAACUCAAAGGAAUUGACGGGG
rnacentral:rRNA from 1 species